rnacentral:tRNA from 1 species
GGACUGUAGCUCAGUGGCAGAGCACUUGCCUGGCAUGUGUGAGGCACUGGGUUCGAUCCUCAGCACCA